rnacentral:rRNA from 1 species
CAUGGAGGGUGAGAAUCCCGUUCAUGGUUAAUUCUAAGAUGCUUUAUGAUGCGUUUUCGAAGAGUCGAGUUGUUUGGGAUUGCAGCUCAAAAUGGGAGGUAAAUUUCUCCUAAGGCUAAAUAUUGGCGAGAGACCGAUAGCGAACAAGUACCGUGAGGGAAAGAUGAAAAGAACUUUGAAAAGAGAGUUAAACAGUACGUGAAAUUGUUGAAAGGGAAACGAUUGAAGUCAGUCGUACCAGCGGGAAAUCAACCUUUCGAGUGGGGUUUUGGAGUUUUGAAGUGUGUCAAAACCUUUGAGAUUUCAAAAUUUUCGCUCUUUUGGUGUACUUUCUCGUAGGUAGGUUAACAUCGAUUUUGAUCAUCAUAAAAAGAUUGGAGGAAUGUAGCUUCGAUCUCGUAUUGAAGUGUUAUAGCCUUUGGUAAAUGUGAUGAUUAGGAUCGAGGAUUGCAACGAAUACCCUUUUGGGCUAUCCGCCUGAUCUCUGAUACGUGACCUUGGUAUCGAAAGCGUGCUUAUGGUAUUAAGGUAUUACGGUCAAAAGGUUAGAACGGAUUACAUUCGUUAAGGAUGUUGACGUAAUGG